GAUGAACGCUAGCGACAGGCUUAACACAUGCAAGUCGAACGAGAGAUGAGGAGCUUGCUCUUCAAAUCGAGUGGCGAACGGGUGAGUAACGCGUGAGGAACCUGCCUCAAAGAGGGGGACAACAGUUGGAAAUGACUGCUAAUACCGCAUAAGCCCACGAUCCGGCAUCGGAUUGAGGGAAAAGGAUUUAUCGCUUCAGGAUGGACUCGCGUCCAAUUAGCUAGUUGGUGAGGUAACGGCCCACCAAGGCGACGAUUGGUAGCCGGACUGAGAGGUUGAACGGCCACAUUGGGACUGAGACACGGCCCAGACUCCUACGGGAGGCAGCAGUGGGGGAUAUUGCACAAUGGGGGAAACCCUGAUGCAGCGACGCCGCGUGGAGGAAGAAGGUUUUCGGAUUGUAAACUCCUGUCGUUAGGGACGAUAAUGACGGUACCUAACAAGAAAGCACCGGCUAACUACGUG
rnacentral:rRNA from 1 species